rnacentral:rRNA from 1 species
AUGGCCAGUCCUCCUAUCCUUAUUCUCACUCCCGAACAAGAAAUUCUCAAUUUUAAGCAAAGGGAGAGAGAAAGUUUAAAAGAUGCUUGGCAUAGAAUUUGCAAUGCCCAAUAUAAAGCUACUAGGAAGAUUGCCACUUCCGUUCUUCUCCGCAAUUUUUAUGUAGGCAUUACUCCUUGGAAUAGAUGUGUUCUUGAUAUUGCUACCGUAGGUGAUUUUAUGAGUAGCCAUACGUUUGAUGCUUAUAAUGCUAUGUUAGAUUUGUUUGGCCCACCACCUCUUUUAGUUAAUGGAACAACUUUAACUUUAGAACAUGUGAUGCAACGACUUGAUAUUAUUGAAAAUAAAAUUGCCACUGUUGAGUUGAUUGAAAAUUUGGAUAAAAAGAUUCAUAAUCACAUUACCCAAUUUGGAUCUAGGGUUGGAGUUACUUUGAAAAAUCUUAAAAAAAAAGAACCUAUAGUCAAUGAAAAAAUAGAUCUAGACUCUGCUAGAAUCGGUAAACUUGAGGAUAUCAUUACAAACUUAGGUUCCAUGUUUUCCCCCAUGAAAAACACUCCAAAACACUCUAUUAAAACUGCCAAGUUUAUUUAUGUUCCUAAAAAAAAGGGUGAAUCUUCUAAGGGAGACGCGGAUCUCAAAUCCAUAAGUGUUCUCCCCAAUUGUCUCUCUAUCGUUAAGGAACCUUUUGCUAUCAAUGAAUUUCUUGAAUUUUUGCCUAAGGGUUUAGCCAUUGCUAAAAAGGGAGAAAUCCCUAGAGAUCACAAUCUCUCUACUUAUGAAUUUAGUGCCAAAGAUGGCACUCGUUAG